rnacentral:rRNA from 1 species
UACGUGGGGGGCGAGCGUUGUCCGGAUUUAUUGGGCGUAAAGAGCGUGUAGGCGGCCAGGUAGGUCUGCUGUGAAAACUCGAGGCUCAACCUCGAGACGUCGGCGGAAACCAUCUGGCUAGAGUCCGGAAGAGGAGAGUGGAAUUCCUGGUGUAGCGGUGAAAUGCGCAGAUAUCAGGAAGAACACCCGUGGCGAAGGCGGCUCUCUGGGACGGUACUGACGCUGAGGCGCGAAAGCGUGGGGAGCAAACAGG